UACAGAGACUGCAAGCGUUAUUCGGAUUCACUGGGCGUAAAGGGUGCGCAGGUGGCCAAGUGUGUUAGGCGUGAAAGCCCGGGGCUUAACCCCGGAAUUGCACCUAAAACUACAUGGCUAGAGCAUUGGAGAGGGGAGCAGAAUUCACGGUGUAGCAGUGAAAUGCGUAGAUAUCGUGAGGAAUACCAGAGGCGAAGGCGGCUCCCUGGACAAUUGCUGACACUCAGGCACGAAAGCGUGGGGAGCAAACAGG
rnacentral:rRNA from 1 species